GACGAACGCUGGCGGCGUGCCUAAUACAUGCAAGUCGAGCGAUAAAGCUUGGUGCUUGCACCGAUUUGAAGAGCCGCGAACGGGUGAGUAACGUGUGGGGCAUCUGCCUUUGAUUGGGGGACAACAUGUGGACACGAAUGCUAAUAGCGCAUAACAACUUUAAACAUAAGUUUUAAGUUUGAAAGAUGCCAUUGCAUCACUCAAUGAUGAUCCCGCGUUGUAUUAGCUAGUUGGUGAGGUAAAGGCGCACCAAGGCGAUGAUACAUAGCCGAACUGAGAGGGUGGUCGGCCGGCCUGGGAGUGAGACACGGCCCAAACGGCCUCGGGAAGGAGCAAUAGGGAUACUUCGGGAAUGGGUGAAAGACUGGGCGAGAUACGCCGCGGGAGGGAAGAAGGUUGUCGGAUCGUAAAACACGGUUGGUAGAGAAGAAAGUGGGUGAGAGUGGAAAGCUCAUAAAGUGACGGUAACUACUCAGAAAGGGACGGCUAACUACGUG
rnacentral:rRNA from 1 species